rnacentral:pre_miRNA from 1 species
UAUGUACUCCCUCCGUUCAGAAUUACUCGUCCAAGAAAUGAAUGUAUCUAGAUGUAUUUUAGUUGUAGAUACAUCCAUUUUUGUGACAAGUAAUUCCGAACGGAGGGAGUAGAAC